GAUGAACGCUGGCGGCGUGCCUAAUACAUGCAAGUCGAGCGGACGGACGCUAAGCUUGCUUCUCUGAUGUUAGCGGCAGACGGGUGAGUAACACGUGUAUCCCCUACCUAUCAGUCUGGUAUAACUUCGGAAAACCGGCGCUAAUACCGUAUAAUCUUUUGCACCGCAUUGUUCAAAAGUGAAAUACGGUCUUUCUGUCUCUUCUCGCUGGUUCCGCGCUGCAUUAGCUAGUUGUUAAGGUAACGGCUUACCAAGGCAAGCAUGCAUAGCCGACCUGAGAGGGGGAUAGGCCACACUAGAACGGAGACACGGACCAGACGCCUACGGGAGGCAGCAGUAGGGAAUCGGACGCAACGGGCGAAAGCAUGACGGAGCAACGCCGAGUGAGUGAUGAAGGUCUUCGGAUCGUAAAAAUCUGUUAUGAGGGAAGAACAUAUGUGGAAGGAAAUGUGCAGAGAGUGACGGUACCGAAUAAGAAAGCAACGGCUAACUACGUG
rnacentral:rRNA from 1 species